UUCCUUUUCGUGGUGAUACCGUCCUGGUA
rnacentral:piRNA from 1 species